UACAGCGGGUGCGAGCGUUAAUCGGAAUUACUGGGCGUAAAGCGCACGUAGGCGGCUUGGUAUGUCGGGUGUGAAAUCCCCGGGCUCAACCUGGGAACUGCAUCCGAAACUGCCUUGCUAGAGUAUGGGAGAGGGAAGUGGAAUUUCCGGUGUAGCGGUGAAAUGCGUAGAUAUCGGAAGGAACAUCAGUGGCGAAGGCGACUUCCUGGACCAAUACUGACGCUCAGGUGCGAAAGCGUGGGGAGCAAACAGG
rnacentral:rRNA from 1 species